rnacentral:rRNA from 1 species
GGGACACGUGGUAUCCUGUCUGAAUAUGGGGGGACCAUCCUCCAAGGCUAAAUACUCCUGACUGACCGAUAGUGAACCAGUACCGUGAGGGAAAGGCGAAAAGAACCCCGGCGAGGGGAGUGAAAAAGAACCUGAAACCGUGUACGUACAAGCAGUGGGAGCACGCUUAGGCGUGUGACUGCGUACCUUUUGUAUAAUGGGUCAGCGACUUAUAUUCUGUAGCAAGGUUAACCGAAUAGGGGAGCCGAAGGGAAACCGAGUCUUAACUGGGCGUUAAGUUGCAGGGUAUAGACCCGAAACCCGGUGAUCUAGCCAUGGGCAGGUUGAAGGUUGGGUAACACUAACUGGAGGACCGAACCGACUAAUGUUGAAAAAUUAGCGGAUGACUUGUGGCUGGGGGUGAA